ACCUAUAGCCAUACCACCCUGAAAGCGCCUGUCCUCUCUGAUCUCAGAAGCUAAGCAGGGUCGGCCUGGUUAGUAUUUGGAUGGGGGAGAAGAGGAAGUAAGUAGUUACUCUGGGCA
ensembl:rRNA 5S_rRNA 5S ribosomal RNA